AACGAACGCUGGCGGCAUGCCUAACACAUGCAAGUCGAACGAGAUCUUCGGGUCUAGUGGCGCACGGGUGCGUAACGCGUGGGAAUCUGCCCUUUGGUUCGGAAUAACAGUUGGAAACGACUGCUAAUACCGGAUGAUGACGAAAGUCUAAAGAUUUAUCGCCAGAGGAUGAGCCCGCGUAGGAUUAGCUAGUUGGUGUGGUAAAGGCGCACCAAGGCGACGAUCCUUAGCUGGUCUGAGAGGAUGAUCAGCCACACUGGGACUGAGACACGGCCCAGACUCCUACGGGGGGCAGCAGUGGGGAAUAUUGGACAAUGGGCGAAAGCCUGAUCCAGCAAUGCCGCGUGAGUGAUGAAGGCCUUAGGGUUGUAGAGCUCUUUUACCCGGGAUGAUAAUGACAGUACCGGGAGAAUAAGCUCCGGCUAACUCCGUGCCAGCAGCAGCCGCGG
rnacentral:rRNA from 1 species